CAUGCAAGUCGAGCGGCAGCGGGAAAGUAGCUUGCUACUUUUGCCGGCGAGCGGCGGACGGGUGAGUAAUGCCUGGGAAAUUGCCCAGUCGAGGGGGAUAACAUUUGGAAACGACUGCUAAUACCCCAUACCCCCUACGGGGGAAAGCAGGGGACCUUCGGGCCUUGCGCGAUUGGAUAUGCCCAGGUGGGAUUAGCUAGUUGGUGAGGUAAUGGCUCACCAAGGCGACCAUCCCUAGCUGGUCUGAGAGGAUGACCAGCCACACUGGAACUGAGACACGGUCCAGACUCCUACGGGAGGCAGCAGUGGGGAAUAUUGCACAAUGGGGGAAACCCUGGUGCAGCCAUGCCGCGUGUGUGAAGAAGGCCUUCGGGUUGUAAAGCACUUUCAGCGAGGAGGAAAGGUUGGCCCCUAAUACGUGU
rnacentral:rRNA from 1 species